rnacentral:lncRNA from 1 species
GUCCCUAGUUUUUAUGCAGUGCUUAGUGAAUAAGUUCGUCUCUUUGUGGUGUUGCCGUAUAAGCGAGAGGUUUCUGUUGUUCUGUUGUUGUCCACCUAUAGUGUAUGUGUUUCCUUCGAUUUUAGUUUGUUACCCGGAUUUGUUUUUCUUUAUCGAAUAAUGACUAUUGAUCAGCGGAAUACUACUGUUGCCUUUAUUUGCCACAGAGUGUCAGUUGUUUUUGUGGCAUAUGAGUUUUGAAUAUCCCAUCGAUAUCUUCCGCUUUCAUUCUUAGCAUUGAUAU